rnacentral:rRNA from 1 species
GACAGAGGGUGCAAACGUUGUUCGGAUUUACUGGGCGUAAAGAGCGUGUAGGCGGCCAGAAAAGUCCGCUGUGAAAACUCGAGGCUCAACUUCGAGCUGUCGGUGGAAACUUUCUGGCUAGAGUCCGGAAGAGGAGAAUGGAAUUCCUGGUGUAGCGGUGAAAUGCGCAGAUAUCAGGAAGAACACCCGUGGCGAAGGCGGUUCUCUGGGACGGUACUGACGCUGAGACGCGAAAGCGUGGGGAGCGAACAGG